UACAGAGAGUGCGAACGUUGUUCGGAAUUACUGGGCUUAAAGCGCACGUAGGCGGCACCGUAAGUGUCGGGUGAAAUCCCACGGCUCACCCGUGGAACUGCCCGGCAUACUGCGGUGCUAGAGUGUGGUAGGGGAGAGCGGAACUCCUGGUGGAGCGGUGAAAUGCGUAGAUAUCAGGAGGAACACCGGUGGCGAAGGCGGCUCUCUGGUCCACAACUGACGCUGAGGUGCGAAAGCUAGGGGAGCAAACGGGAUUAGAUACCCCCGUAGUCC
rnacentral:rRNA from 1 species